GCGGAAAAUGUAAGUCUAGGCCAGGGUCGCCAUCAGCCUCCGGGGACGUGACGGUCAUGUAAACACAACAGAGGCAGGAAGGCAGGGCAGGGGAGGCAGAGUUCACGCUGUCUUGUACGAUUAUCCAGGCUGUGGACAAAAAACUCAAGAUGAAGUUGCCACACAAUCUUCUGCUCUCUGCAACACUCUAUAUGUGCAUAAUGGGGAAAGAGGAUGUGGACUUUAUAGACACAGAAUCAACACAAGACAAGGAGGCGGCUCAGAAGUGUGAUGCUUGUACGAUUGUCGCUAGAAAGUUUGUUGAUGCUUUUUCUGAACUUAAAGAGGAAGCAGCAGCCAGCAGUCAGAUGCCUCACGAUGAAGACAUUAUUAACGCUGCAGAAAGUGUGUGUGAUGAUGCGUGGGAAGG